rnacentral:rRNA from 1 species
UGAGGAAUAUUGCGCAAUGGGGGCAACCCUGACGCAGCGACGCCGCGUGAGUGAGGAAGGCCUUCGGGUCGUAAAGCUCUGUCAAGAGGGAAGAAGUGCAUGGUGGUUAAUAUCUGUCAUGUUUGACAGUACCUCUAAAGGAAGCACCGGCUAACUCCGUGCCAGCAGCCGCGGUAAUACGGAGGGUGCAAGCGUUGUUCGGAAUCACUGGGCGUAAAGGGCGCGCAGGCGGCCUGAUCAGUCAGAUGUGAAAGCCCACGGCUUAACUGUGGAAGUGCAUUUGAAACUGUCAGGCUUGAGUACCAGAGGGGAAAGUUGAAUUCCCGGUGUAGAGGUGAAAUUCGUAGAUAGCGGGAGGAAUACCGGUGGCGAAGGCGACUUUCUGGCUGGAUACUGACGCUGAGGCGCGAAAGCGUGGGGAGCAAACAG